rnacentral:rRNA from 1 species
AUUGAACGCUGGCGGCAGGCUUAACACAUGCAAGUCGAACGGGUGUAGCAAUACAUCAGUGGCGGACGGGUGAGUAACACGUGGGAACCUUCCUAGGGGUACGGAACAACUCAGGGAAACUUGAGCUAAUACCGUAUACGUCCGUGAGGAGAAAGAUUUAUCGCCCUUAGACGGGCCCGCGUCGGAUUAGCUAGUUGGUGGGGUAACGGCCUACCAAGGCGACGAUCCGUAGCUGAUCUUAGAGGAUGAUCAGCCACACUGGGACUGAGACACGGCCCAGACUACUACGGGAGGCAGCAGUGGGGAAUCUUGGACAAUGGGCGCAAGCCUGAUCCAGCCAUGCCGUGUGAGUGAAGAAGGUCUUCGGAUUGUAAAGCUCUUUUGCCAGGGACGAUAAUGACGGUACCUGGAGAAUAAGCCCCGGCAAACUUCGUGCCAGCCGCCGCCGUAAUAC